AGCAAACAGGAUUAGAUACCUGGUAGUCACGCUGUAAACGAUAUCGAUUUGGAGUUUGGGGGCAUGACCCUUGGGCUCCGGAGCUAACGCGUUAAAUCGACCGCUGGGGAGUACGGCCGCAAGGUUAAAACUCAAAUGAAUUGACGGGGGCCCGCACAAGCGGUGGAGCAUGUGGUUUAAUUCGAUGCAACGCGAAGAACCUUACCUGGUCUUGACAUCCAUAGAAUCUUUCAGAGAUGAGGGAGUGCCUUCGGGAGCUAUGAGACAGGUGCUGCAUGGCUGUCGUCAGCUCGUGUUGUGAAAUGUUGGGUUAAGUCCCGCAACGAGCGCAACCCCUAUCCUUUGUUGCCAGCACGUAAUGGUGGGAACUCAAAGGAGACUGCCGUUGAUAAAGCGGAGGAAGGUGGGGACGACGUCAAGUCAUCAUGGCCCUUACGACCAGGGCUACACACGUGCUACAAUAGCGUAUACAAAGGGAUGCGAAGGUGCGAACUGGAGCGGACCUCACAAAGUACGUCUAAGUCCGGAUUGGAGUCUGCAACUCGACUCCAUGAAGUCGGAAUCGCUAGUAAUCGUGAAUCAGAAUGUCACGGUGAAUACGUUCCCGGGCCUUGUACACACCGCCCGUCACACCAUGGGAGUGGGUUGCACCAGAAGUAGAUAGCUUAACCUUCGGGAGGGCGUUUACCACGGUGUGGUUCAUGACUGGGGUGAAGUCGUAACAAGGUAACCA
rnacentral:rRNA from 1 species